rnacentral:rRNA from 1 species
UACAGAGGGCGCAAGCGUUGUUCGGAUUCAUUGGGCGUAAAGGGUGCGUAGGUGGCGCUGUAAGUCGGGUGUGAAAUUUCGGAGCUUAACUCCGAAACUGCAUUCGAUACUGCGGUGCUUGAGGACUGGAGAGGAGACUGGAAUUCAUGGUGUAGCAGUGAAAUGCGUAGAGAUCAUGAGGAAGACCAGUGGCGAAGGCGGGUCUCUGGACAGUUCCUGACACUGAGGCACGAAGGCCAGGGGAGCAAACGGG